rnacentral:rRNA from 1 species
AAGCGUUUGGCAUCAGCCCUUGGCGUCCGUCGAACAUCCAGGCUUCUGUCUGGUGCACUCGUCGGCCGUCGGGCCAGCAUCGGCUCUGCCCGUCGGAGAAAGGCUCGAGGGAUGUGGCUCACCUUCGGGGGAGUGUUAUAAUCUCGGGUGUCAUGCGAUGUGGUAGGGCCGAGGUCUGCGGACUCUGUCCUAGGACGCUGGCGUAAUGGUUCCAAGCG